rnacentral:rRNA from 1 species
AGAGUUUGAUCAUGGCUCAGAAUCAACGCUGGCGGCAUGCCUAACACAUGCAAGUCGAGCGAGAAAGUGUAGCAAUACAUGAGUAAAGCGGCGCACGGGUGAGUAACACGUGGAUAACCUGCCUCAAAGUGGGGAAUAACACCGGGAAACCGGUGCUAAUACCGCAUAUUCUGAUGAGAUCUGCGGAUUUUGUCAGGAAAGGAGCAAUUCGCUAUGAGAGGGGUCCGCGGCUGAUUAGCUAGUUGGUGAGGUAAUGGCUCACCAAGGCUUCGAUCAGUAGCCGGUCUGAGAGGACGGUCGGCCACACUGGAACUGAGACACGGUCCAGACUCCUACGGGAGGCAGCAGUGGGGAAUUUUUCGCAAUGGGGGAAACCCUGACGAAGCAAUGCCGCGUGGAUGAUGAAGUAUCUCGGUACGUAAAAUCCUUUCGACGGGGACGAAGCCGCAAGGUUGACGGUACCCGUAGAAGAGCCCC